UACGAAGGGGGCUAGCGUUGCUCGGAAUCACUGGGCGUAAAGCGCACGUAGGCGGCUUUCUAAGUCAGGGGUGAAAUCCUGGAGCUCAACUCCAGAACUGCCUUUGAUACUGGAGAGCUUGAGUCCGGGAGAGGUGAGUGGAACUCCGAGUGUAGAGGUGAAAUUCGUAGAUAUUCGGAAGAACACCGGUGGCGAAGGCGGCCUGCUGGGCAGUUUAGCUGACACUGAGGCGCGACAGCGUGGGGAGCAAACAGG
rnacentral:rRNA from 1 species